rnacentral:rRNA from 1 species
GAUGAACGCUAGCUACAGGCUUAACACAUGCAAGUCGAGGGGAAACGACAUCGAAAGCUUGCUUUUGAUGGGCGUCGACCGGCGCACGGGUGAGUAGCGCGUAUCCAACCUGCCCAUCACUUGGGGAUAACCUUGCGAAAGUAAGACUAAUACCCAAUGAUAUCUCUAGAAGACAUCUGAAAGAGAUUAAAGAUUUAUCGGUGAUGGAUGGGGAUGCGUCUGAUUAGCUUGUUGGCGGGGUAACGGCCCACCAAGGCAACGAUCAGUAGGGGUUCUGAGAGGAAGGUCCCCCACAUUGGAACUGAGACACGGUCCAAACUCCUACGGGAGGCAGCAGUGAGGAAUAUUGGUCAAUGGGCGAGAGCCUGAACCAGCCAAGUAGCGUGCAGGAAGACGGCCCUAUGGGUUGUAAACUGCUUUUAUAAGGGAAUAAAGUGAGAGUCGUGACUCUUUUUGUAUGUACCUUAUGAAUAAGGACCGGCUAAUUCCGUG